UAUUUGAAUCAUGUCUGCAAUCAACUCGAUGAAUAAAGUACGCCAGUGCUUCGAGGUGUGUGGUAAAAUCUCCAAUAGCCGGAAGGGUGAGGAGGUCCGGUUGACCGGAGCAGGGAUACCUGCUUCGGGAGGCCGUCGGGGUUCAGUGAUGAAUUCCGGGGAGACGGAAACUGUCAAGGAAAACGCAUAUCGCAGAGAUGUUCGCACUUAAUUGCACGGAACUUCCGGGUGCAGCAAUAGACGCCUGCGGUGCAGGAAUAAGCCUAAGGGGUAUCAGUGUGGCAGCUGGUAUGACAGAGGUAAAGCCAAUAAUGCACUCUGCUUUGACGGUGGAGAAAUCCGCCUAUAACGGAAGUAGCCGGUGAAAGUAGCCGUAUGGCAGAAAUAGUGAGGAAAAAUCUGAAUGGACGGUGAAAUUUGCAGGUAGCCAUUCCUGUGCAGGCUUGGGCGAAAGCCGGGGUAAGAAGUUAGGGGUCGCUCCCCGAAGCUCAGACUUAUCUUCCUGGUGGCAGAAUAUAGGUGAAGGGCAUGGAUGUACGGCGAAGGCCGGAUUGCGGGUGUGAUUGAG
rfam:Coprococcus catus GD/7 draft genome.